CACGAGCAACACUGAUGGGUGAACAUCUGGCAUCUGCAUUAGAAGUGACCAUUUCAACACCAAAAAAAGCAGGAGCGUGUUCGGUUCACUGGCAACAAAGCCAUUAUAAAAGAAACCUCAGGGAAACUUCUGACAUGAAUUGCUCAACUACUGCCCUGCAAAUGCAAGAAAAUUGAAGGAUGAUCUAAUACCGAACCAACGUUUACCUCAGUUACUGUGCAUGACAGUUCCACUGUUGUUGAUUCAGCGAAUGUCUCGGUACUUGGUUACAGUUCACGAACAUGCCUCCAGGUAACCUGCGCAGUAACGCACCUUAUCUUCUUGCAUCUUGAUACAGAGGAAGGUGGAGAACGACGACAGGAUACAGUAACCACAUAUAGAAACGGACAAAGCUGGAGACAGUGAAGAAGAAGAAGAAGAAAUAGAAGGAAGCGCAGAGCGAUAGUGCCUGCACAGAGGGAUUCAUUAGCCCAGUUUGCAUUUUUAGCUCGCUCACGCCAGAACGACGAUCAGCGAACGAGGUAAG